UUUGAUUUAUAAUGUAGCCAUAAAUCGUCUUAUAAACGAACAACGCUUGCAAAUUAUUGAAUUUUAUUAUCAAAAUGCGUGCUCAAUUAAGAAAGUUCAUCACCCGUUCAUUGUGUUCAGCGACGAAGCUCAUUUUUGGAUUAAUAGGUACGUAAAUAAGCAGAAUUGUCGAUUUUGGAAUGAAGAUCAACCAGAAGAAUUGCAAGAGCUACCAAUGCAUCCAGAAAAGUCACAGUUUGGUGUGGUUCAUGGGCUGGAGGCGUCAUUGGACCGUACUUCUUCAAAGACGAUGCGAGUCGUAACGUAACUGUUAAUGGUAAGCGCUAUUGUGAGAUGAUAUCCAACUUUUUUAUGCCUGAAAUGACUUGCAUGAUAUGUGGUUUCAACAAGACGGUGUCACAUGCCACACAGCACGCGAAACAAUGGACUUAUUGAGAGGCGAUUUCGGUGAACGUUUUAUUUCACGUACGGGACCGGUCAUUUGCUGUUGAAAAAAGAGAAUGAACAACCUAAUAUACUACUUAACAUUAAAUAAUUUAAACAGAAAAUAGUUUGUUUGCUUUUGUAAAUUUGUCAUAUUGUACAAAAAAAAAUUUUAUUCGUUGUAAAACUCUUAAUAUAAUAACAAUUAGCCGCCUAGAUCGUGUGAUUUUACGUCUAUAGACUAUUUUUUUUUUUUUUUUUUGGCUAUGUUAAAGCUUAUGUCUAUACAGACAAGCCCGCUUCAAUUGCCACAUUGGAAGAAAACAUUAAAGCAUUUAUUUGUUCACGAAAUGUUGAAAGGUAUGCCAAAGUUGGACUAAGCGGAUGGACCAUUUGAGGUUGCAGUCACGGUCAACGUUUGCAUGAAAUAAUCUUCAAACAUUAAAUUAUAUGAACCAUACUAUCGAUUCAAAACAAGAUUUCAGAGAGGUUUCACUCUACACCGGCCGAAGUAAUAAGGUGUUUGUAGAGUGAUCGACCUGGGAAGCCUUGCGACGAGUUACUGGAAAAUGCUGUUCAUAAGUAAAAUCAUUCAAUCCACUCCUCUGCUGGCAGAAAACCAAUCGAAUUUUUUUGGGAGACCUACUACUUUUUGACCCGACGAUUACGAACGAACAUCGUCUUUCAAUUAUGAGAAACGCAAGAGGCCAAAAGCAAAUCCAAUACCAACCCGGAGAGAAAAUUUUUGUAAAUGUCAACAAGCGAUUAGGGACAAAGUUGUCGAAACGGUAAAAGGAAGAAAUCGUUAAGGAGGAUAGGCACUCUACGGUUUUGACAGUAUCGGGAAGAGGCUUUUUGCGAUCUGCAGCGGUUUUUCCGAAAUUCUCGGAAGUGGUUAUUAUUGAGAAGGGAGUCGGGAAGAACAAAACGGGUUCUUUAAAAAUAUUACAUCAAAUCAAGACGAGGUUGAAAAUGGAAAUGGCUUGCCGGAAAUCCGGACCAUGGCAACUUCAAAAACCAAAUAUUUAUCAAUAGAAAAUUUAUUGAACAGAUUAACAACGUAACUAUCGCAAAUAACCAAAAAAUUUUAAAAUCCCUAUAAAUUUUGAAAAAAAAUUAUAAAAUAAACAUAAUCAAAGAGAAAAUUAAAAAUCUCAAUAUAAAUACGUAUAUAUAUACGCUAUACAUUGUCGAAAUCAAGUAUUGUUAAUAUGUUUAUCUUAUCGGACGAAAAAAUCAUCAAAAUAGAGAAAGUAUUUUUGUACGAUAAUAAUUCGUUUGCAUAUCCUGAAGAGGCCAUUAACUUUGCAGAAACCAAAAUAUCUUGCAAUGACAAAUUAAUAAGUUAUGUUAUUGAAAUCCCUAAAACUCUGGAAAAUUAUUGUAAAAAAUUGAUCUUAAUCCCUACCAAAAGAAACAAUACCAUAUUAAAAUCAAAUUUUGAAAAAAAAGUUCUUGACUGCAAAGACAUCUUUGGAAUAGAAAAAAGUUGCAACUGAUAAAUGGGGUCACUCUGUACAUAAUUAAAGACAUAACAAAUUUAACAAGUAAUUAUAGUAUCUCAAACUACACAGCAAAUAUGGCUCAUAAUUGUUCUUUAAACAAAACUGUACGCAUUAAAGAAAUUGAGUCAGGCCUUGUAUUGCUGAAUAAUUUUAAAGGAUGUAUUUUUGUAAACGAAUUUGAACAUAAAUAAAUGGCAGUUAUUUGAUAAGAUUUCAUAAUGCCUGAGUAAAAAUAAAUGAUUUAAUGUGUGAGUCAAGAGAAAUUACACACUCAAAGUCUUUGCAAGCCUUGCAACAACACGUUUCAGCGGGAAAUAAUAUGGAAGAAAUUCUGUCCUAAGAACUCUUAAAAUCAUUACAUGUGAAGAACAAUCAGCGAAUAGAGCGAUUAAACUUUAAAUUAAACUUUGUUAAUUAAGCGAGACGCUUGAGAUUGGAGUAUACUUUUACCAUACCCAGAAAAUGUCACUUGCCAAAUUUUAGACAAAUUGGAACAAAAAUUUGGGUAUCGAAGCAAAAAUUUCAAAAGUUUUGGGUACGUUAGUAUGGGACCUUCACCUAAAGUUGGACCCAUAUAGACCAUAUUCCCAUUAUAUAGGCUUAAGAUGUUUAAUUUAGAUAUCGAUCUAUAUGGUAGCUACAUCUAAAUAUAGACUGAGGAACUGAAGAUUUCAAAUCUGGAGUCCAAUCUUUACGGGAGCAAUGAAAAGAUAUAAUAUUAUACAGCCCAUACACGAACAUAGUCGGUUAAUGGAUAAAAAAUACAAUUGUGCCAAAGUUCAGCUUCCAUAACCAUAAAACUAUUAAGAUGAAUCAUACACUUACUUAAAAGGACGAGAUCCAAAAAAUUUUGCUUGGAUAUGGCACGAAUUAUUAUUAUCUGAAUACCUCUGCCGAAGUUCGUCAAAUUGAUUCAACCAUGCAAUAAUACUACCAAAUGUUGCCUUUCGUAGAAGUAACUAUUCAGUUUAAAAAAUAUAUUUAACACAAAAAGAAAAUAAACAAAAGACAAAUGAAUCGUAGCACUUUAGAAUAAAGCACCCAUCUCAGAAAAAUCGGAAACAAUUCUUACCUAGCAGCAACAAAAGCAAAGCAAAACUUGUAUCUUUGUGCAGCUUUAUUAUUGAUUUUUCGAUUAUUUGAAAAUCGACUUCGACUUUUUUACACAAGAAGUCGUUUAAUCGAUUAAUCUAAAGUCGACUACCCAGGAUGCAUAAGAAAAAUCAUGACAAGAUAGAACGAAUUUUGUGAGGAUGAACUCCUGGCGGAUUCAGAAGACGAGGGUAACCGGUUUGUGCAGAUAAAUCUACACCAUUGAAAGGUCGCUUCGGCAGCACUAAAGAUCCUUCUGAUGGCGGAAGGAUUUGACGUUGUUCUUAUUCAGGAACCAUUGGUUUCUGGAAGGAGGGUUCGUGGACUAUGUAUUCUUAAAUUUUGAGCACUGUUAAAUUGAUACGUGCGUUUGUUAUUGAGCUGCGAAUACAUUUGAUAUUUUUGGAAAAAGAGCACAACAGAAAGUAAAAGAAGUACAAGUUGUUUGGUGGAGUGUAAACUGCUGCAGGAUAGUGAGAAUGACAGUGAAGGUUUCAAGAAAUGCAAAUUAUUCACAGUAUAUAAAUUUUAAAAACUUAAAAUCUCGCAAACAAAAUAUACACAACAAAAUGUUUGGUGUUAAACGGUAAGCGAUAUAGAUAAAUACACAACUACAGAACGACAAAACACAGCUGAUGUAGAUGUCAUAUAGAGAAAAGGACGUUUCAUCCAAGGGCUGUGUGAAGUUACCAGUGGUAACUCGCAAGAUGGCAGUAAUACAGGGUGACACUAAUACAAAAAAUUCAGAAUGUACGGAAAUUAUAAAUAGUUUUUAGCUACUGUCGCCAGAAUAUUAAGCUGUGAAUAAACUAUUGGGUUGCCCAAAAAGUAAUUGCGGAUUUUUUAAAAGAAAGUAAAUGCAUUUUUAAUAUUACUUAGAAUGAACUUUAAUCAAAUAUUCUUUUUUACACUUUUUUUCUAAAGCAAGCUAAAAGUAACAGCUGAUAACUGACAGAAGAAAGAAUGCAAUUACACAGUCACAAGCUGUGAAAAAAUUUGUCAACGCCGACUAUAUGAAAAAAAAAAUAAAAAGUGUGUGGGCCGAAAAAGAAACUACUAAACUAGAACGUCUAACUUUAAAGAGGAAGCACCACACCUACCUGCAUGAAGCCUUAUCGUCUGGUGUUCUGGCGAGGAUUAUGCCCUCCCUUUGGAGUCGGAGCUCCACUAUAGCAACGCUAACUUCUGUUGCCCCGUACCUCUUCCACUUAGCCCUUUUCUACCCCAUUCUAGCCAAAGAUCUACAUGAUCUCACUAAAAGACAGCAGGACGUUAUAAACCUAUAAAAAGCAGUUUGUUGUGUUCUAUCUUGCGUCAAGACCCAGGAACUCUACGACUAAGUUGGGGUGCAUCCACAGGGAUCUGGGUCUGAGUCUAGUGGGUCUGGCUGGGCAGUUAAACAUAUGACGUGUAUCGUGCGGUCCCUGGUUACAAUCGGGACAUACAUCUUGCACGUCGGCAUCAAUACUUGCUCUGUAGGAGUUGAGGUGGCUGCAUCUGUCGGAACGUAAUUGAGCCUGAACUACUCUGAUUUGCCGUGGCUCCUUCCGCUGAUUAUGCUUAGUUCUGCCUCCAAUGACAGCUUACUCUGUCUGUCCGUCUAAGUCCGUCCGCAUGUUGUAAUGGUAAGGCCGUUAAAUGCGCCUAAAGGAGGGCAUUUGUUAUCUUCUUGGUCGAAAAUCCAUAUGGAAUUAACUGCGGAAAAGUUAAUAAUUCAGUUUGUUCUUCUUUUUGGUUUAGGAUAAGUUCGUAAUUUGGUUCUCAAUAACUGUUUUUAAUUCAGUUCACUUUUUUCCACUUUUUAGGAUUAGCUUUUAAGGUAGUUUUUAAGGAUAGUUUUUAAUGUAGUGUUUAAGGAUAGUUUUU